GCUUUUGUGGUGUAAUUGGUAGCAUACUCGAUGCGUAGUUGAGAAGUCCAGGGUUCGAAUCCCGGCGAGGGCG
rnacentral:tRNA from 1 species